AUUAAAUUAACUUCAGAACAAACAAGAGAAAGAAAUGUACCCUUUUUCGCACGCCAGGCAUGUUACUUGGUACAAUCUUUCUUCACAUGAUCAGUCCCAUUACAGAGAAAGCAACCUAAAUCAGUAAUUUCAACCUUAGGUUCCUUAUGUUGCUUAAUCUUGGGCCUUACAGCCGCAACUUCCUUACCUUUCCUCUUCUUAGUUUCCUUAGAAGAGGAUGCCAAAUGAG
rnacentral:lncRNA from 1 species